UGCAUGCAUACAUGUUCAUAAACAGAAAUGAAUGGGAAAAUGUUAUUAAAUUUGAAGAUUAACACUCACACGAUUUUCACUUAGAAAAAUAAUCGAUUUUUUUUGCGUGGAAUCAACUACUCUGGCCUCCUAAUAUGCUACAAAACCCUUUUUGUGGUCUGUGAAAUGGAUGGCUCUCAGAUCGUACAGA